GGAGUGUUUCAAGUAAUUAAAAAUAUAUAAAACUUAUAUAACAUUAGAAAUAGCGGAAUAAUUCCUGCGUGCGCUCCCUAAUGAAAUGCGCGGAGUACACCUAUGUAUAAUAUGUAUGGGCGCACUUAAACAGCGGGAAAUAAUGGUAAAAUGAACACAUUGCAAAAGUGCCAAAAAGACCUUGGUCACAAACACGUAGCAUCUCAAAACAGCCAUUAGAAUGUGUCAUUACAUCUUAACUGUAAUUGGCUUUAAUUGGCUUAGGGUGUAAUGACACGUCCUGCAGAUUUGGUGUGAGCACAGUUAAAGGGACACUCCAGUGCCAGGAAAACAAUCCCUUUAAAUCCAUGCUCCCUCACUCUGACUGCUGAAGCUAUUUUUAGUGGCUCAAAACUUUUUGUAGUUAAAUUGCGGUGGCAGUUUUGUGGCAGCUCAAAUUCGAGUUGACACCAGGGAGCAGAGGAAAGUCCUGAGAUUAGACAUUGAAGAGUUAUGUGGAGAAUUUAGGCAUUGUGGGAAGUAUUGUAGAUGGGCAGGGGGCGGUACUGCAGAAUGUGAUGCUAGGUUAUGGGCCUUUUUUGUGUUGUUUGUUAACCCCUUAAGGACACAUGACAUGUGUGACAUGUCAUGAUUCCCUUUUAUUCCAGAAGUUUGGUCCUUUAAAGGAUCACUUUAGUGUCAGGAAAACAUACUCGUUUUCCUGACACUAUAUAACCCUUAGGAGUCCCACACCCUCAGGGCCCCCCUCCCUUGGCGCUGAAGGGGUUUAAACCUGGGGGACCUGGCACCCAGACCACUUAAUUGAGCUGAAGCGGUCUGGGUGACUAUAGUGUUCCUUUAAUUUCGAAACACUUGCGUGGUUUCAGGAUUACAAUGUUGGUGGUUACAGAUAACCACUCCCUUGUGUACUGUUUUACUUGUCUUUUCUGUAAGGAUCCACGGACAUUGCACAGCGCUGCAGAAUUUGUUGGCGCAUUGUAAAUAGUAAUGGUAAUAAUAAUAAUAACAGUUGACUGAGAUUUAAGCAGUUGUAUUAACACAUACUAAAUGAUAUAUAGAUAUAUAGUACUUAGUGACAACACUUGUGGCUGAUAUAUGGUGUAAACACCUCAGAGAAUGAGAACUAUUGGGGGAGAUGAAGUAAGGUUUUAUUGAUAUUAAUCUGCAGAGUUUGUGAUUGGAGUUUAGUUUGACAUUGGGGGAGCCCCCAGGCAAGUUUAACAGAUAUACGUGAAUUAGAAAUGUGACUCAUAGCCCGGCAUUUUAUACAAAGGACGGCAGUUCAUACUGUCUCGGAGGAGAUGGCAGUUCAUACUGUCUCGGGUUUUAUACCAGGCAGUCUGGGCAGGUGAUCGUCUAUUCAGUUACCUGCUAUAUGUCCCGGAUCUAAUUUUCAAAUCAUAAAAAGAAAACCCACAGAGAAAUAACAGGAAAAAAUGAAAUGGAGCUCUGGUAAAAGUCAGAGACCUGAGUAUCAUGGCGGCCAUUCUAGCAAAUGCCAGGGCUGUUAUUUUUUGUCCGAUUGAACUCUGAGAGUAGGAGAGAUACAUUCUUGCAGAUCUGCGAGAUAACCAUUGUACAGCGCUACGGAAUCUGAUGGCGCUAUAUAAAUAAUAAUAAUAAUAAUAUUCUCAGACCAUUUGUUUUUCUCCUCCUGUUUCCACCCUCACUCUGUGCACAUUGAGGCGUGCUCUGUUCUGCUCUCUGAAUGUGCUGUAGCUGCCCACAUUCCCAGCACUGAAGUGGUUAAUAGGCAGAGCAGUAGUUUACAGCUCUGCAGUCAGCAGACUUCACUCCCUCCUCCCCCUCCACAAACUUAAACAGAGAGGUAAACCUCUAAGUAAAAAGCCAGGUCUCUGUGCAUGGAGGGUUUAUAGAGGGAGAGGAGAGCUGCUAAAUUAUGAAGAUGGGACAGUUAGG
rnacentral:lncRNA from 1 species